rnacentral:lncRNA from 10 species
GUACCCUAAAACUUAAAGUAUAAUAAAAAAAAAAUAAAAAAAAAAAUAAAAAUAAAAAUUAAAUUAGUUCAUUUGGGAACUGUUUUGGUAUAAGAAUUAAAGAAAGAAACAUGCUUUCAAAUGAUAAAUAGUUAUAAAUUUACUUUAAUAGCAUUUACUGGAAAAAUGGGAAUUUUUUUCUAUAUUAAUUAUAAUACAGGUACAUAGAUUCAUUUCUAAAUAUUUUUUGUUCCCUAUGACUGGUAGCUUUUUAUUAUUUUUAAAUAUUUACUUGGGCCAGGGCCCACCUUUAUUCACCACUUCUGUUUUGGAGGGGAUUUUCUAAUCACUUUUCUAGCAAAUUUUUUAUUCCAAUGAGCUUUAGAAUAGUUUUGUCAAGUUUUCUGUUUUUAUGAUCUUAUAGGGAUUUUCAGUGGGAGUAUUUAUUAAUUUAGGAAAAAAAUUACAUUUUUCAAAUAUUGAGCUUCCCUAUGUUAAGGUAGGUUUAGCCCUAAUUUUAAUUUACAUGUCUCAGUCAAGUGUUAUGGAUUUUUUCAAUCACGUUCUGUAAAUUUCUUGUCACGUUUAGGUAUACGUUGUAUGUUGCUAUUGUUACUGGAUAAUAAUCCCUUCUUCAAUUGUGUUUCUGUCCAGUAGUACUAAUAGAAACAGUAACAUAAUAUAAUGGUAAUAAUGAUGUAUGCUUCACACUAGUACAGAAAUCAAGUAUGAUUACUCUCUGAAUGUAUUUUUCCAGUUACACAUAGUAUACAAUUUUUCAUCAUUCAAUGAAUGUAUGUUGAGCAUGCACAAAUACUAAGAAAAUUUUUAGAUCCUGUGUAAACAAUCCAUGCCUUUGUAACAAAUACAAUUAAUAGAAAAGACUGACACCUACCAAAUAAUCACACCCUUUAUAAAACAUUCUAAUUUGUGCUAUAAAUAUAAAUAUUUAUAAGAAGAAAUACAGCGUGCCAAGAAAAUUUAACAGGGACUAUCUUACCUGAGUUGUGGUGAGGAGUGAGGAGCCUAGUAAAGAUUUUGUGAGGAUGAGGCAUUGAGAAGAGUUCUGAAAGGUAAAUACAAGUAAACUGGGCAAAGAGAAUACACAUACAAAUGGUUUUCAGCAGGACAGGGAAUCUAGAAGCUUUUAGAAAAUGGACAAAAUCCCAUGUGAGUGGAGCACAGAGUAACGGAGAUAGUGGUGUAAGGAAGCCUGGGAAGAAGGCAGGAGUCAGGUCAUGCCAGUACCUCAUAGUUUGAAGAUUUUUGUCUUUAUCCUAGAAGUUACCACUGAAGCUUUUUAUAAUAAGAUGAGUGCGUGUGUGUUGUGUUAGCUAGGGUGGCGGGGGGGAGUGGGAGGUGACAUAUUCAGAUUUUUAUUUCAAAUUGAUUUCUCUGGCUGUAGUGAGAAGAAUGGAUCAGAAGAGGGAAAGAGUGCAUGCCUGAAAACCUGUCAGAGGCUAUUGAAAAAGCUCAGGCGAGACAUAAUAUUCAUGUGGACAAGGAUAACGGCAGUGGAGAUCAAGAGAAGGAUAUGACCUUAGGGAAUAUUUAGGGGGCAGAAUUAGAAAUAUUUAAGAAGGACAGUACUCUGGCAUGGUCUGAGAGAGAGAGAGAGAGGUGACAAAAAUGACUCUCGGGUUUCUGGCCUGCCUAAAUGGAUGGAUAAUGACGCUGCUGUCUUUUUUUAAAUUUCUGUUAAUUUUGAGAAUUUUCAUUUGUAUUUUUUAAAUAAAUCAACAAUAAAUGUAUGCCACCAUCCUCCCCAAAUGUAGAUUAUUUCACUUUUUAUAGUGUAGAAUUUGAGGUGUCUAUGGGACAUGAAAGUAAAGAAAUCCACUGACAGGUCUAAUAUAUAGGCAAGAAAUUUGAGAGCUUUGGAAUGGUCUGGGCAGGCUUUUAUUGGUAGCAUUCCCAAAAUCCAAAUAAGAACUGUUAUUUC